rnacentral:rRNA from 1 species
GAUGAACGCUGGCGGCGUGCCUAAUACAUGCAAGUCGAGCGGAAACAGGGAGAGCUUGCUCUCCGCUGUCGAGCGGCGGACGGCUGAGUAACACGUAGGAACAUACCCCAAAGUGAGGGAUAACGGCUCGAAAGAGUAGCUAAUACCGCAUGUGGUCUAAGGAUUAAAGCUUCGGCGCUUUGGGAAUGGCCUGCGUUCGAUUAGCUAGAUGGUGAGGUAAAGGCUUACCAUGGCGACGAUCGAUAGCUGGUAUGAGAGGAUGAUCAGCCAGACUGGGACUGAGACACGGCCCAGACUCCUACGGGAGGCAGCAGUAGGGAAUUUUCCACAAUGGGCGAAAGCCUGAUGGAGCAACGCCGCGUGCAGGAUGAAUGCCUUAGGGUUGUAAACUGCUUUUAUAUGUGACGAUUAUGACGGUAGCAUAUGAAUAAGGGUCGGCUAACUCCGUGCCAGCCGCCGCCGUAA